rnacentral:rRNA from 1 species
GAGUUUGAUCGUGGCUCAGGAUGAACGCUAGCGGCAGGCUUAAUACAUGCAAGUCGUGGGGCAGCAGGUCCGUAGCAAUACGGAUGCUGGCGACCGGCAAACGGGUGCGUAACACGUACGCAACCUUCCUUCAGGCGGGGAAUAGCCCGGGGAAACCCGGAUUAAUACCCCAUAAUAUUUUGAGAUGGCAUCAUCUUAUUAUUAAAGCUUCGGCACCUGAUGAUGGGCGUGCGGCUGAUUAGGUAGUUGGCGGGGUAAUGGCCCACCAAGCCAGCGAUCAGUAGCUGAUGUGAGAGCAUGAUCAGCCACACGGGCACUGAGACACGGGCCCGACUCCUACGGGAGGCAGCAGUAAGGAAUAUUGGUCAAUGGACGAAAGUCUGAACCAGCCAUGCCGCGUGGAGGAUGAAGGUCCUCUGGAUUGUAAACUUCUUUUAUUUGGGGACGAAAAAGGGAAAUUCUUUUCCACUUGACGGUACCAGAUGAAUAAGCACCGGCUAACUCCGUGCCAGCCGCC